rnacentral:rRNA from 1 species
UACGUAGGGGGCAAGCGUUGUCCGGAAUCAUUGGGCGUAAAGAGCGUGUAGGCGGCCCGGUAAGUCCGCUGUGAAAGUCCAGGGCUCAACCCUGGAAUGCCGGUGGAAACUGUCGGGCUAGAGUCCGGAAGAGGCGAGUGGAAUUCCUGGUGUAGCGGUGAAAUGCGCAGAUAUCAGGAGGAACACCAAUUGCGAAGGCAGCUCGCUGGGACGUUACUGACGCUGAGACGCGAAAGCGUGGGGAGCAAACAGG